rnacentral:lncRNA from 1 species
AAAAGUUAUCUAUUGAUACUUUACAUGAAUUACAUUUACAUUACAAAUAUAGAAUAUUUCGUUAACAAUAAUAAAGAACUCAAAAAUCUAUAUACAAAUGGAGAAUAAAAAAAUAAAAAAAAAUAAAAAAAAAAUCACUCACACGCUCACAUAGACAUUGUUAUAUGGAAUUAAAGGGACCAACAGCUUCUUUCGCCACAGAGAAAGACGAAACAACAACUAGAGAGGAAAAGAGUAAUACCAAUUCAACCAAAUGAUGGCUCAUGCAAACGGAGGCCGCCAUAUUCUAACAGACAAAUCUUACAAACUAAAGCAACAAUCAAAGAGAAACUAAUGAACUCAAAGGAGGCGUGAACUCUA